AGGAAAGUGUAGAGAUUUGAGAGAGAAAGAAGAGAUUAGAGUGAGAAGAUGCAUUAAUUGCAUAUAUUCUCUAAGAUUUUCAAAUCUUAGCCAAGAUCAAUUUCAUAUCUUGCAAAUAUUUCUCUCACCUUUCCUCCACCCCAUUUUCGAUCUCUCUCCCUCUCCCUCAUCUCUCACUUCACUUUCCUCCAUUGUUAGCCAUUGAUGAAACCUUCGAAGCUUCACCCAAGUAUGCCAAACACAUAAAUCACUACUUAAAUCCUCCAUAAACACAUCCUAUUAACUUGAAUUCAAGAGAAUCCUUAAAGGAAGGCUUCAAGACUAGAGAGAGAAAGUUUGAGUUUUGGUGAAGAACUUGAACACGAGCAGAGCAAGGAAGUAAGUAACUCCACUUUGACGGGAGUUUUUGAGUAAGGUCUUCAGGCUAAGCGAGGAGUGAGAUUGGUCUGGUGCUGGUGGGGAAUCGUUAGAUGACGUAUUUGCUUUAUCGUAUUUUCUUUUUAUCGAUAAAGUCCCGAUGUGAAGUUACUUUGAAUAUGAAUCAAGUAAUAUACUCACGGUUAUGUGUCUCCAUACAUGUAACUGGUUCGCCUUUUGCUGCGAUACUCUGCAUAUUAUGUUUCCUUAUGAAAAAUAAGCUAUACCUGUUUUGUUUUUGUUCGUGAAAUUCCUGAUAAUUAAAAAGUUAUAACGACGUUGACGAUUUUACCCUUGGGUUCAAUUGAUAAUAUUUUCCUUAGCAUGCUUUGAUGUGAGCUUCCGCUUGAUGUUCGACCUACUCUUCUAUUCCUUUAUUCUUUAAAAAUAGUCGUAUCGAUACUCGUACCCCACUAUCACUAGUGUCGGGAUUUCGGGCUGCGACAGGGUGGUAUCAGAGCAGGUCAUCUGCUCUGAGUCUAUUGCUUGACUGAGUUGAACCUUUGAUUACUGGUAUCUUUUUAACUUGAGUACUAGUCUAAUUUGAAUUCUUAGGCUAGUUUGAGAGAGUCAGUUUGAAACGAAACCCCAGCACCCCAUCUCCUCCGGCUUAACGAGGUAAGAGGUUGAUGUUGUUUCUUAUUGCUUUUCUGUUAAAAGCUGAGUUUGGGUUACUAAUGAGUUAUGAAUUGUUUUGAUGACGGAAUUAUUUGAGAUGAUGGAAUCUGAUAUGAGGCAGUUGAUGUGGAAUAUGAGGAGGAAUGUUGAGGCUAGUAUAGCCGA